rnacentral:misc_RNA from 1 species
UUCCUAAUCAUAUCUUCAAAUCGGGUCUAUAUACCAAAGUUCUGAUAAACCUAGCGUAUAUUCAAUUCGUUACGAUAUUCAGAAAUGACAAAACCAAACAAGGUGCGACGGAUAGCUGAUUUCCAUCACCAUGAUUUGCCGUCUUGCCGCUCAAAAAUGUACAAUAAGCUUCACCAAAAGGAGAAACGACCAAAACCAUCAGAGAAGAAAGAAUGGGAAGGGGCAACUUGCUCUGUUUGCAUGGAGCACCCUCACAAUGCAGUGCUGCUGCUGUGCUCAUCUUAUGACAAGGGAUGUCGUCCGUAUAUGUGUGCUACUAGCUGCCGUUUCUCAAAUUGUCUUGAGCAGUACAAGAAAGCGUAUACUAAAGUCACUUCAAUCGAGGGCUCUGAACCUGGGUUGCUGGCAACUGAUGAUCCGAAUUGCUCGUCAGGAGCAGGAUGUUUAGCUGGGGCAGCUGAACUUCUAUGUCCACUCUGUCGUGGGCAGGUAAAGGGUUGGACGGUUGUGGAACCUGCACGCAAGCAUCUAAAUGCAAAGAAGAGAACAUGCAUGCAUGAAAAUUGCUCGUUUGUUGGAACGUACAAAAAGUUAAGGAAACAUGUAAGGCGGGAGCAUCCUUCAGCACGUCCCCUAGAAGUAGACCCUUCACUUGCAGAGAAAUGGAAGAAGCUUGAGCACGAGAGAGAGUUGAACGAUGUGUUUAGCACAAUCAGGUCUGCCAUGCCUGGGGCAAUUGUAAUGGGAGAUUAUGUAAUAGAUGGUAACUUCGGAGGGCUCCACAGGAAUUUUGGAUUGGAUAACCAUCUCGAUGAGACUCUUUUUAGGUCAGACCCUCUUAGUGAUCUGUGGAAUAAUAAUGUCCACCCAGACGAUCUUUUCGAUGAUAGCUAUCAUUCAUUUGAUCAGGAUGAUUUUUUUGUCCAUCAUUCUGGCACUGAGGCUGCAUCUAAUGUUUUCAACAGAAUCUCUCGACUUCACAGUAGGAUCCUAUUGGGACGAUCAAGGAGGCGGCAACGUCAUCGAGCAAGUAGUAGAAUCCGGUGAUCUUUCAGGAAAAGAAGGUUUUCAAGAGUGGUUAGGAUGAUGAGACAUGUUUGUUUGACUAUUGUUUUCUUUGUCCUAACCCAGAAAAAUAUGUGAGACAUCCAUGUUGCAGAUCCUAAUCGGUUGUUCCAGCGAGGAUUGAAGACCACUGCUUACAGCAAUUUGGAGUUCCUGUAGUUGCCUGUAAAUUUGCAUAGUAAAGUAAAUUCAACCCUCCUCCCUACUCUUAGGUACUUUUAUUUCAUGAAGUAGGCAAUAGUUUCAUAAAUCAGGUAAUAUUAAAGAUUUUGUUUUCCUCUCAUUGGAUAUAUGCAUAUCCUUGAGGAAAAGAAGGUUGCAACAUUAUUUAACUAUGAACUAGUACUAGUACUUCUUGUAUUGCCUUUGGUUUUGCGCGUUGGAUGAUUCGUG